GGAGAGCUGCCCGAGUGGGAAGGGGCUCGCUUGCUAAGCCAAGGCCGGCGACGCAGUCGCCGCGGGCGUUCGAUUCGCUCGCUCUCCGCCA
rnacentral:tRNA from 1 species